UAAACUGCAAAUACUACCCCUGUGUUAUCUCGAAAUAGCAAAAACCCCCCUGUGAUAAAUAAACUAGCAAAAACCCCCCUGUGAAAUUUAGUCAAAGGCAGAAUCCCCCCUAGCUGAUUUUUGAGACUUGAAAUGACAAAAUUGUCCCUCAAAAUGUAUUUAUAUAUAUACAUAUUAUAUGUAUAUUUAUUCUUUUUAAUUUAUUUGUUUAGAAAUUAAAAAAAAUAGUAAACAACUAAAUUGAUUAUUUUUUAAAUAAAAUAAUUAAAAUAUUUAUAAAAUAUAAGAAUUUAUUAAUUGCAAGACUCCAGGGGUAUUUGUGUCUUUUUAUAUCAAGUCAACCCUCAAAUAGUUCCAUAGGGGGCUUUUUGCUAUUUAAAUAAUUUCACAGGGGAGGGUUUUGCUAGUUUAUUUAUCACAGGGGGGUUUUUGCUAUUUCGAGAUUACACAGGGGUAGUUUUUGCAGUUUACUCCACCUUUGUUAGUUAAUGUUAAC
rnacentral:lncRNA from 1 species